UGCCUAUAAAUACCUUCAUCACGAGUAUGACAAGAUCACAAGACAAGAAAAGAAAGGUAGAGAAAACAUGAUAAUGAUGAUUACGAUGAUGAGAGUCUCUAGUUGUAUCAGAGGGUCUUGCAUGGAAGAAUAGAGAAUGAGGUUGAGCCAAGGAUGACUUGCCGGGUUUUUUUACCAAUGAAUCUAAUUAACUGAUUCUGGUGUCCGGCAAGUUGACCUUGGCUCUGUUUCCUUCUCUUCUUUUGGAUGUCAGACUCCAAGAUAUCUAUCAUCAUGAAUCGUGAUCAAACUUUGUAAUUUCAUUGAAAUGUGUUUUUCUUGAUGCGAAUUUUUUGGCUUACGGUUUUUCGAUUUGAAUGAUCAGAUUUUUGUUUUUGCA